UUUUUUCAUACUUUUACCCUCAGAGAAUGUAAAUGGAGGGUGAACAUUUUGUGUAUCUGAAGUUCCCUGUUCAUAAAAUAAAAAUACAAUGUCAUAUGUGCUUUUUUUCCACAGCUGCAUUGCCGUAUAACUCUUGAUUCUCACAUCUUUAUUAUCAUUUUAUCGCAAUGUCCCCAUUGCGAUAAAAUCGUAAUAAAGAUGUGAUAGGAAGGGAGAGAUGACGGGAAGUAAUUUUAAUUAUUUUAUUGAAUUCCCGUUAUUCCCAUUCAUUAGGACCCCGACGACGGGGACAAUGGGAAUACACCGAACAUUUGUAUAACGCACCCGAUACAUUUUCAGUCAGUUAUCAUUCAUUUAUAUAAUUAUGCACGAGUUAUUAUGUAUUAAUUCAGGUGUCUCUUUCGAUGUGUCUACUUACAUCUUAAGACUACCCACUAGAGUCUUAUUUCAGUCUUUGCAAGUAAAAAUCACGUAAUUAACCUUUUUUCUCCGUGUUGGCGAAGCAGCUGCUAAAAUGAGAUAAAAUGGUAAAAGUGUCUAGUUUUUUCAAGAUGAAAAACAAGACUCUUCGUAGGUAGCGCCUUCAGUAAAAAUUUAAACCUCUUUGAUAGUCGUAAUAUAAUUUAACCGGCGAGGACGGGAGUUUGAUUCUCAGUGGAUCGCUUCAACCAAGUUCUGUCAUGAUUUCAUUUACUCAACUUGCACUUGGUUACAAGAAUUGUACGGAUUUGUUCGAUGUACCUACGAUAAAAUUCGCCCGCAUGUGUUUCCCACUGCAUGUUUGCAAAGAUUCAAGAUGAUUGGAUGUGUAGGUAAAAGGUGAAGAAGAAUCAAACAAACAAAUUGACUUAUUUGCGGAUUUAAAACAAGUACUACAGUUAGCAGUGUUUUUCCGAUUUGGUUCGGGACUUUGAGUAUAUAGCCAGAGGUCAGCGUAAAAAAUUAACCUUAAAAUUUUUGAGAUACGUCAGUGAAUUAUCCCAUGAAUGUAGAAUCACAGCGUUUAGAAGCCUGCCUAUUCAGAAAACGGAAUGCUACAAACUCGAUCAGCUCUCAUAGGAGCAAAGCAACGGGACACAACUAAUACAUAAAAUAUGAAAUAUCUACUUCACAAUAUUUUCAUAUUUCUAUCCAGGGAAUAUACACAAUAGAGAAAUCAGUACUGUUGUAGUAUGAGCAAGUUUGCAACUACGCCGCACAUACAACUUGCGAUUCCAGCCCAGAUGUGACAUUUUUAACAGAUUAGGCGAGUUUUUAUUUUGUUGUGAUGCAAGAACCUACCAAGUAAGUAUAUAUCGCUUCCGUUUUUUUAAUGUUUGCAUUUUCUACUUCAGACAAACGGAAAACUGUUCUAAGUACCUGUCUUAACUUAUUCAUAAAAAAAAAACUUAAAACAUUUUCUAAGCUAAAUUACGUUUUGUCUCCUGUCAAUGAGAAAUAUUGUAAAGUGCGAUUGUGACAAACCAUACUUUAGCUUUAGCGUGUUCUUUAACUUUUUUCUGAAUAAGACAGAAUACUUGACAUACUUGACAAAACAUUGCAUAAUAAUUUUAAAUUGCUAACUGACAUUAUAUAUUUAGGUAGGGACGUAUAUACAUUAGAACACUUUAAAAAUAUUGUAAGAUUGGCAAUAGUAAGCUAAUUCUGCGACUUUGUCGAUUCUAUAAGAAAUAUUUAUUUGCCUGAAACAACCGUUACAUGCAAGUAUACGAUUACAAACGAAUUACAUACUUUAUUCCAGAACUAACUUUUGUUUAACAUCGUGUUCGUAUUCCUAUAUACGUUUAACUAUAUGUGAAUAGCUCAGAAGGAAUAUUCAAAUGCCAUGUCGACUAGCAGUCUGAAGCACAUACUUCUAUCCAUAAUGCUUUUGUACGAACAAUUCUCUGGAGAAAUUGGAAACGCGUUCGAGUUACAAGUUUCCAUUCAUUGCUAUGUUGUUUUGCUUAUUUUCAAAAUAAAACGAAAGCAAUUUUGUAAGUUAUUUAAUAUAUUUUUUUAUCACUUUCAUUUAAAAAUUAGAUUUUUAUUUAGGACAUUGUAAGGUAACUGUGAUAGUGGCUGUGCUCUGUUUUGAAUAAUCUUAUCAAAUAUUUUUUAUACAACGUCGUAAUAGGUAUAUACAAUUCCACGUCCAUAAAGAACAUUCCAUCCGUAAAGCAGAAUGUAAGUAAUACCAGAAUGUCACAAUAGUUUUAUUUUACUUCCGAAUUACUCAAAAUGAUCCUAUUUUUAAUAAGAAGCCAAGGUUGAAAGUGUAUUUUAAUUACACGUUUCCUGAAAAGUCAGAGGUACAAUAUUUGUGGCAAGCAGAUGGGUGGGUGGGUGCAAUUAAGCGAGCUCACUACACAUAAUGCCGCUUUUAAAAACGUUUUACAGUGGUCCCAGCGCUAUUAUUGUCUACGAAACAACAUGUACAAUGUUCAUUUUUAUUUAUUUAAUUUUUUAUUUCAGAGUUAAAAACUCUCCCCGUUUUGGAAACUUGUUAUAGAUUUGGGCCAGCUGUUGUUUAUGUAUGAGUGUAUUAAGCCGAACUUGUGGUAUGUAAAAAGGUAAAAAAUAAGUUCUAUUUAUAACGCUUAUAUCCUUAUUAAGUUGGUAUUAUAUCACAAAAUGACAUUAUUAAAGUCAGUUCCAAGGAAUACAGUAGUUUACGGAACUGUCAAUCAUAGUGCAGUGUACACACAGUGGUUUACCUGGUAUGAGUCUUCUUGCACUAGAUGGUAGGUAGUCAUAAAAAAUUAUGUAAUAUGCCUUAGGCGACUUGAAUAAAAUCUGACUCCAGUGUUAGCAAUAACGAAGAAAGAAGAAAAAUCUCUAUUCCAACCAGAAGCACGCCAUACAGCUAAACGUGGCUUUCGAAUUUCGCAACUCUUGGUUCUAUCUACUCCGAAAUGAAAAAAGAAGUGAUAUUGUAUCUGUAUGUAUUAAAUUGUAUAUUUCAAAAAUAUCCAAAAAGUAAUUGUAUCAAAUUCGUCUUUGUUCAUAAUAAAUGAGUAUAAUAAAUAAGUAUUUAAGUCCAUAAAGUUAUGGAUUCAAGAUAUUUACAUAAAAUAAUUUGUAUGUUGUUAUUUAUAUAUAUGUGAUUUUCUUAUUUUACCUAUAACCCACUAUAACAGGAAAACUUGCAAAAGUAAUAAGAGGUUUAUUUAUGUAUUGUCAAUAAGAUUAAAUAAAUAGUAACAAGAUGAACCUUAAUUUCACCCCAAAAGAGAUUGUAACAACCUUAAAAGUUUCUUAAAAGGUAAACUGGGGGUGAAUCGUGAUUUCUGACGAGAUGGUAAUAAAUGGGGCGCUUACACCUUAUAAUUGGGAAAAACUGUCGCGUCGUCUUCUCAGUUACAGAUAGGAAUAAAUCUUUACGUAGACGGGAUCGGUGGUUCUUGACCUCUGAUUAGGGAAACAAUUAGAUAUGGCAAUAGUUUUAUGAAAAAUCAUCUUCGCAUCUUUCUUUUCAUGCAUUACUGUGUACCUACUUUGCUGUAACUAUGUAUUGCAAAGUAAGUACAUUACAAUAGCUUUUUACAUUUCAUAAUGUAAUCCUAUCUAUCUGUUGUUUUUCCGGCGGUCAGAUAUAUGUGUAACUUCUAUAAGUAAAUAAUUACAAGAAUUCGAUAUGAGAUGAAAUGUUU